AACGAACGCUGGCGGCAGGCCUAACACAUGCAAGUCGAGCGCCCCGCCAGGGGAGCGGCGGACGGGUGGGUAACGCGUGGGGAUAUGCCCUUUGCUACGGAAUAGUCUCGGGAAACUGGGGGUAAUACCGUAUACGCCCUUUGGGGGAAAGAUUUAUCGGCGAAGGAUUAGCCCGCGUUGGAUUAGGUAGUUGGUGGGGUAAUGGCCUACCAAGCCGACGAUCCAUAGCUGGUUUGAGAGGAUGAUCAGCCACACUGGGACUGAGACACGGCCCAGACUCCUACGGGAGGCAGCAGUGGGGAAUCUUAGACAAUGGGGGCAACCCUGAUCGAGCCAUGCCGCGUGAGUGAUGAAGGCCUUAGGGUUGUAAAGCUCUUUCAGCUGGGAAGAUAAUGACGGUACCAGCAGAAGAAGCCCCGGCUAACUCCGUG
rnacentral:rRNA from 1 species